rnacentral:lncRNA from 1 species
AGAAGAGGAGGAGGAGAAGAAAGAGAACAAACCCAGAGCACCCGAAGAAGAGGAGGAGGAGAAGAAGGAGAACAAGCGAGACGGUGGGAGAGGAGGGAGGAGGAGAAAAAUACCUCCGGCGGAGCGGGUUGGGAUCGGUCCGCGCCGGAGAGGAGGUAGCGCCGGAGACGAGGAAUGGGGGCUAAGGCAGCGCCGGAGACGAGGAAGAUGAG